rnacentral:rRNA from 1 species
GACGAACGCUGGCGGCGCGCUUAACACAUGCAAGUCGAGCGAUGAAACUUUAACAGAACCCUUCGGGGCGAAGAUAAAGUGGAUUAGCGGCGGACGGGUGAGUAACACUUGAGUAACCUUCCUUAGACAUUGGGAUAGCCUCGGGAAACCGGGAUUAAUACCAAAUAAAAUCAUAAUGACACAUGUCAUAACUAUCAAAACUCCGGUGGUCUAAGAUGGACUCGCGUCCCAUUAGCUAGUUGGUAGAGUAAAAGCCUACCAAGGCGACGAUGGGUAGCCGGCCUGAGAGGGUGAACGGACACAUUGGAGCUGCGAAACGGUCCAAACUCCUACGGGAGGCAGCAGUGGGGAAUAUUGCACAAUGGAGGGAACUCUGAUGCAGCGACGCCGCGUGAACGAAGAAGGCUUUCGAGUCGUAAAGUUCUUUUAUAUGGGAAGAUAAUGACGGUACCAUAAGAAAAAGCCCCGGCUAACUACGUG